rnacentral:rRNA from 1 species
AGGAAGGUGGGGAUGACGUCAAAUCAUCAUGCCCCUUAUGACCUGGGCUACACACGUGCUACAAUGGGCGGUACAAAGGGUCGCGAACCCGCGAGGGGGAGGCCAAUCCCAAAAAGCCGACUCUCAGUUCGGAUUGCAGGCUGCAACUCGCCUGCAUGAAGCCGGAAUCGCUAGUAAUCGCGGAUCAGCAUGCCGCGGUGAAUACCGGUUCCCGGGCCUU